rnacentral:rRNA from 1 species
UACGGAGGGGGCUAGCGUUGUUCGGAAUUACUGGGCGUAAAGCGCACGUAGGCGGCUUUGUAAGUUAGAGGUGAAAGCCCGGAGCUCAACUCCGGAAAUGCCAUUGAAACUGUGAGACUUGAGGACGAGAGAGGUGAGUGGAAUUCCCAGUGUAGAGGUGAAAUUCGUAGAUAUUGGGAAGAACACCGGUGGCGAAGGCGGCUCACUGGCUCGUAUCUGACGCUCAGGCGCGACAGCGUGGGGAUCAAACAGG